rnacentral:tRNA from 1 species
UGCGGGGUCUGCUAAUGGUAGGCAUCGCGGCUCUGAACCGCGCAAUCUAGGUUCAAAUCCUAGCCCCGCAG